CACAGCAAGGGUUUCUUGUCCUGGCCAAUCCAGGGGCACCCUCUCCCAAACCUGGCCCAUUACAGUCCUCCCUAGGUGGAGAUUUUUGGUGGGCACUGUCACCCACUUGGGCGUUUGCUCCGCCAUAGUCAAGGCUCAGUACCCAGCAUCCACCUCCUCCCUGCCACAAAUCUCUUGAUCUAGAUAAGGCCCAUCUUUGCCUUUCGAGACCAAUGAAGCACCCAGCCAGGUCCACAGGGAGGUCCCAGUCCAGCAGCUCCAGCACAAAAGUGGGGAGAGUGCUCCCAGCACUGAAGAUUUACCCAAGGCCUUGUUCUUGCUCCUGCCCUUGUGCAACCCAGAACAAGAGGCUCAGACUCCACCACGAGGGUACAUUUGCCCAGACAUUGUUCGUUUGUGACACUCCUUUCAUCCAACUCCCAGAUUGUUGGCAUUAUAGAUGUGGGUCACCCCACCCAGUUGUGUGCUGUUUUUGAAUGUGUAGAACUGUUCUGUUCAAUCUUGUGGUCCUGCUCUCACCCUUAAGAUGAAAAACCUCCCUUAGCCCAAGAUACCCAGGCUGUAUCUUCCUACUCACUUGAUACUUAGUAGCCAUCUUAUGGCUGUGCUUUCCUACUUCAAUUUAAUAGCUCCAAAGUACAGGAUAGUGAUGCUGGCCUAACAGCUUCCUUUAAGCGAAAAGUGGAAGUUUCAAUUAGGAAAGAUAAAAAUAGUAUUAGCUGGGCACGGUGGUACGGCCCCUGUAAUCCCAGUAAUUACAAGGCUGAGGCGAGAGGAUCACUGCAAAUUCAAGGCCAGCCUUAAACAGGUAGUAAGACUGUCUCAAAAAAACCAGGCCAAGGAUUUAGCUCAGUGGCAUAAGCACCUGCUUGGCAAGCACAAGGUCAUGAGUUUGACUCCCAGGACCAAAACAAAAAAAAACCUAUAAACCCAGCACUCUGGAGGUUGAAGCCAGCCUACAGUGAGACGUUGUCUGAAAAAAAAAAUUAUGUGUAAGUUGCUAAGAUUUAUAGUACAAGGUAUUCUCAUGAAAGACACACAAAAUAGAAAAAAAAUUAUUGUAAUCCAACAUGGCUAAUAUAUUUAAAAGUAUAUCUUGAUUUAGUAUAAUUGUUUUAGUCUGGUAGUCUGGCAGUUAAUGUUUAACUUUUAAAAAGACACUUUGAAAUGACAUUCACUUAUUACAACAUUGUUAUAAUUAUUCUACUUUAUUAAGGUUUUUAAUUUAUUAUACUCAAUUCAUAAACUUUAUCUUCAGUACAUAUGGAAGAAAAUCUAGUGUUUUACAGGGCUUGAUACUACCUGAGGUUUCAAGAAUCCACUGGGAGUCUUGGAAUAUCACUGUGGGAAAGGUAGGACUGCCAUACAUCAAUGCAUUUCUUGUACGAAUUCCUGUCAAAGGAAGCCCACAGCUAGGUGACUUACACAGCCCCUGCUGGUGUCUUUUCUCAAACUAUAUCAUGCCUCAACACAACUGAUGUUUGGAUGCAAGCCUCUACUUACCUCCCUCCUGCAGUAUCAGCAAACCACUUCCUUAGUGAUACCCACCAAGCACAGGAGAACAGUGUCGCCAACAAUUCUGAAGGGUUUUUUGCUACCUGGAACUCUCCCUUAGACAUUUCUCCCCAAGGUGAAAGGGCUUGGCCUGGAGUUGUAUUGGAAUCCAAAGCAAAGAGACUUAAGCAUCCCUUCCAGGCUGAAAGGUUAUCUAACAGCCAAGAGCUUUUUAUUGAGAAAGAUCAAGAGCACAUGCUACCUGAUUGUCAUGACUAGUGGCCUACAGUAGGGUUUACAGAGUAUAGCACAGUGAGGAGUCACCUGUGAUAAACCGUGCCACAACUCCAAUGUAUCAGGAGCUUGCCAUAUGUACAAAUGAGCCUCCUGUCUUUGUGGGAUGGAAAAAGCCCAACCAAACUGCCAACUUAUUAGAAACUUGCAAGGCCCCUGGCAAGCAGGGCACAACAAAGACAGCCAGUUAAGUCAACUGGGCCUUAAAACUAGGUAUGGUGAUGCAUGUUUGUUAAUCCCAGCAGUUAGAAGGCCAAGGCAGAAAGACUUAAGCUCAGCCUUGAUAACACAGAGUUCAAUGCUAGCCUGAGCUAUGUAGCAAGACUGUUUGAAAAAAUCUAACCAAACCAUAAAGCAACAAAAACCUAAGAACAGUUGCAUUUGGAAAUGUAUUAUCCCCAGAGGGACCAAGGACUGGUUGUUAAGAUACACGGUCAUAAGACAGGACAGGACACAACAGGAACUAGCUGGUAGGACGUAGACUGAUAGGUAGAAAGCAAGAAGCAAGAGCAAUGAGCAGAUAGCCACACUGUAAAGCAGUUGUACUAGUUAUUGAUGCCAAACUGCCUUAGGAGACAUGAUCAAGGCUCUCUUGUGGCCAGGUCCCCAGUCUUAUCUCUCAAGCUACCCCACAGCACAGUAUGACAGCAAGAUCACACUCCAAAAAGCUUCUCAUUAAGCCAGGUGUGGUGGUGCACACCUAUAAUCCCAGCACUCGGAGGGCUAAGGCAAGAGGAUUGUGGCAAGUUUGAAAUCAGCCUGGGCUACAAAGCGAGCUGAAGGACAGCCUGAACUGCAUAGGGAGACCCUGUCUCAAAGACAAAGAAUAAAUAAAAAAUAAAAAACCUCUCAUAUACUGAAACUCUCAAGAUAUCUACGAAGACCUGUUUUCUAACUCCCAAAUGGCACCCUUGAAAAUGUCUUUGAUGCUACUGGGAACACUGUAUAAUCUCAGUAAUGCAGAAGUCCUGAUCUCUGAGGACAUAGAGACCUGUUCAGCUGGCUUCUACCUCCUGUACUGAAGCCAAAAUAUCCUAGUGAUCCUCUUGUUCCCAGCACAUGCAUCUGCAAAGCCUAUCUCUACUCACCACAGUGCAGAACAGUGGCUCAGGGAGGCAGUGCACACCUUAGCCCUGAGCACCAACUCUUAGCAAGAAAGAGGGAAUGUCCGAGGAAAUCAAGCUAUGGUGACGUGGAGACCAGCUGCCACUAAUGCAGACAGAGUUGGACAUGUACUGAAGGUACACAGGCAAACACCCAGGAGCCGGGAGGACAUCAGUGCUUACCAUGCGGCCCCCCCACACGAAGUCCUGCCAUCUGGUCCAGGUUUCAAAUGCAUUUUUUAUUUACUAUUUUUGAUGACUAUAAAUAAGUGUUUCCACUAUGGAAAAGAAAGUUAGCACAGUACAUUUUCAUGACUGGGGAAUGGAUUUUCUGAAGUCAUCUUCAAUAGGGUAAAAACUUAGAAAAACAAAACAAAAAAAUGGCCUGAAUGUUGGAAUUCAGUUCUUUAUAUAAAGUCCCUUGUAGAAACAAAACAGAAUUAAAAAUAAAACAAAAAGAAAGGGGAGGGCAAAA